rnacentral:rRNA from 3 species
GGCGAGUGGCGAACGGGUGAGUAAUACAUCGGAACGUGUCCUGGAGUGGGGGAUAGCCCGGCGAAAGCCGGAUUAAUACCGCAUACGCUCUGUGGAGGAAAGCGGGGGAUCUUUCGGGACCUCGCGCUCAAGGGGCGGCCGAUGGCAGAUUAGGUAGUUGGUGGGGUAAAGGCCUACCAAGCCGACGAUCUGUAGCUGGUCUGAGAGGACGACCAGCCACACUGGGACUGAGACACGGCCCAGACUCCUACGGGAGGCAGCAGUGGGGAAUUUUGGACAAUGGGCGCAAGCCUGAUCCAGCAAUGCCGCGUGUGUGAAGAAGGCCUUCGGGUUGUAAAGCACUUUUGUCCGGAAAGAAAACCUCUGGGUUAAUACCCUGGGGGGAUGACGGUACCGGAAGAAUAAGCACCGGCUAACUACGUGCCAGCAGCCGCGGUAAUACGUAGGGUGCGAGCGUUAAUCGGAAUUACUGGGCGUAAAGCGUGCGCAGGCGGUGAUGUAAGACCGAUGUGAAAUCCCCGGGCUUAACCUGGGAACUGCAUUGGUGACUGCAUCGCUCGAGUAUGGCAGAGGGGGGUAGAAUCCACGUGUAGCAGUGAAAUGCGUAGAGAUGUGGAGGAAUACCGAUGGCGAAGGCA